rnacentral:rRNA from 1 species
UAGGGAAUCUUCCACAAUGGACGCAAGUCUGAUGGAGCAACGCCGCGUGAGUGAAGAAGAUCUUCGGAUCGUAAAACUCUGUUGUUAGAGAAGAACACGAGUGAGAGUAACUGUUCAUUCGAUGACGGUAUCUAACCAGCAAGUCACGGCUAACUACGUGCCUG